AGAGUUUGAUCCUGGCUCAGGAUGAACGCUGGCGGCGUGCCUAAUACAUGCAAGUCGAGCGAACGGACGAGAAGCUUGCUUCUCUGAUGUUAGCGGCGGACGGGGGAGUAACACGUGGAUAACCUACCUAUAAGACUGGGAUAACUUCGGGAAACCGGAGCUAAUACCGGAUAAUAUUUUGAACCGCAUGGUUCAAAAGUGAAAGACGGUCUUGCUGUCACUUAUAGAUGGAUCCGCGCUGCAUUAGCUAGUUGGUAAGGUAACGGCUUACCAAGGCAACGAUGCAUAGCCGACCUGAGAGGGUGAUCGGCCACACUGGAACUGAGACACGGUCCAGACUCCUACGGGAGGCAGCAGUAGGGAAUCUUCCGCAAUGGGCGAAAGCCUGACGGAGCAACGCCGCGUGAGUGAUGAAGGUCUUCGGAUCGUAAAACUCUGUUAUUAGGGAAGAACAUAUGUGUAAGUAACUGUGCACAUCUUGACGGUACCUAAUCAGAAAGCCACGGCUAACUACGUGCCAGCAGCCGCGGUAAUACGUAGGUGGCAAGCGUUAUCCGGAAUUAUUGGGCGUAAAGCGCGCGUAGGCGGUUUUUUAAGUCUGAUGUGAAAGCCCACGGCUCAACCGUGGAGGGUCAUUGGAAACUGGAAAACUUGAGUGCAGAAGAGGAAAGUGGAAUUCCAUGUGUAGCGGUGAAAUGCGCAGAGAUAUGGAGGAACACCAGUGGCGAAGGCGACUUUCUGGUCUGUAACUGACGCUGAUGUGCGAAAGCGUGGGGAUCAAACAGGAUUAGAUACCCUGGUAGUCCACGCCGUAAACGAUGAGUGCUAAGUGUUAGGGGGUUUCCGCCCCUUAGUGCUGCAGCUAACGCAUUAAGCACUCCGCCUGGGGAGUACGACCGCAAGGUUGAAACUCAAAGGAAUUGACGGGGACCC
rnacentral:rRNA from 1 species